AAGAAUUUAAGUUAAUAAAACUAUUAGCCUUCAAAGCUAAAAAUAGGGUAUACCCUAAAUCUUG
rnacentral:tRNA from 1 species